AAAAAUUUAGUUAAUACAAUAACAUUAGUUUGUCAAACUAAAAUAAUCUUUAAGAUAAUUUUUU
rnacentral:tRNA from 1 species